rnacentral:rRNA from 1 species
GAUGAACGCUGGCGGCAGGCCUAACACAUGCAAGUCGAGCGGUAGAGAGGUGCUUGCAUCUCUUGAGAGCGGCGGACGGGUGAGUAAUGCCUAGGAAUCUGCCUAGUGGUGGGGGAUAACGUUCGGAAACGGACGCUAAUACCGCAUACGUCCUACGGGAGAAAGCGGGGGGAUCUUCGGACCUCGCGCCAUUAGAUGAGCCUAGGUCGGAUUAGCUAGUUGGUGAGGUAAUGGCUCACCAAGGCGACGAUCCGUAACUGGUCUGAGAGGAUGAUCAGUCACACUGGAACUGAGACACGGUCCAGACUCCUACGGGAGGCAGCAGUGGGGAAUAUUGGACAAUGGGCGAAAGCCUGAUCCAGCCAUGCCGCGUGUGUGAAGAAGGUCUUCGGAUUGUAAAGCACUUUAAGUUGGGAGGAAGGUAGUAACCUAAUACGUUGCUACUUUGACGUUACCGACAGAAUAAGCACCGGCUAACUUCGUGCCAGCA